rnacentral:rRNA from 1 species
GACGAACGCUGGCGGCGUGCUUAACACAUGCAAGUCGAACGCAGUGGCGAACGGGUGAGUAACGCGUAAUCAACCUGCCCUUCAGAGGGGGAGAACAGUUGGAAACGACUGCUAAUACCACAUCAUGAAGAAGGGGAUUGCGUUGGAUUAGCUAGUUGGAGGGGUAACGGCCCACCAAGGCGAUGAUCAGUAGCCGGUCUGAGAGGGUGAACGGCCACAUUGGGACUGAGACACGGCCCAGACUCCUACGGGAGGCAGCAGUGGGGAAUCUUCCGCAAUGGACGAAAGUCUGACGGAGCAACGCCGCGUGAGUGAUGACGGUCUUCGGGUUGUAAAGCUCUGUUAAUCAGGACGCGGUACCGAACUAGAAAGCCACGGCUAACUACGUGCCAGCAGCCGCGGUAAUAC